rnacentral:rRNA from 1 species
CCUACGGGUGGCAGCAGUCGAGAAUCAUUCACAAUGGGGGAAACCCUGAUGGUGCGACGCCGCGUGGGGGAAUGAAGGUCUUCGGAUUUUAAACCCCUGUCAUGUGGGAGCAAAUUAAAAAGAUAGUACCACAAGAGGUAGAGGCUGCUAACUCUGUGCCAGCAGCCGCGGUAAUACAGAGGUCUCAAGCGUUGUUCGGAAUCACUGGGCGUAACGCGUACGUAGGCUGUUUCGUAGGUCGUGUGUGAAAGGCGCGGGCUCAACCCGCGGACGGCACAUGAUACUGCGAGACUAGAGUAAUGGAGGGGGAACUGGAAUUCUCGGUGUAGCAGUGAAAUGCGUAGAUAUAGAGAGGAACACUAGUGGCGAAGGCGGGUUCCUGGACAUUAACUGACGCUGAGGCACGAAGGCCAGGGGAGCGAAAGGGAUUAGAUACCCUUGUAGUC